AAUGAACGCUGGCGGCAGGCCUAACACAUGCAAGUCGAACGGAUCCUUCGGGAUUAGUGGCGGACGGGUGAGUAACGCGUGGGAACAUACCCUUUGGUACGGAAUAGCCUCGGGAAACUGGGAGUAAUACCGUAUGAGGUCGAGAGACGAAAGAUUUAUCGCCAAAGGAUUGGCCCGCGUUGGAUUAGGUAGUUGGUGGGGUAAUGGCCUACCAAGCCGACGAUCCAUAGCUGGUUUGAGAGGAUGAUCAGCCACACUGGGACUGAGACACGGCCCAGACUCCUACGGGAGGCAGCAGUGGGGAAUCUUAGACAAUGGGGGAAACCCUGAUCUAGCCAUGCCGCGUGAUCGAUGAAGGCCUUAGGGUUGUAAAGAUCUUUCAGGUGGGAAGAUAAUGACUGUACCACCAGAAGAAGCCCCGGCUAACUCCGUGCCAGCCGCCGCUGUAAAAC
rnacentral:rRNA from 1 species